GGGUGCUUGAGGCUGUCUGCCUUAAGCGCUUGCUGACAGGUAGAUAGAUAAAAGCCCCACCCGACUAUAAAUCGAAGUGAGGCCCCUAUAUGCUCGUCACAUAUAGAUUGCCUCUUACGGACCGAAAGGUCAAGGAGAAGCAGGCUAUG
rnacentral:antisense_RNA from 22 species